rnacentral:rRNA from 1 species
GGGGGAUAGCCCACCGAAAGGUGGAUUAAUACCGCAUGUGACCUUCGGGUUAAAGAUGCCUUCGGGUGUCGCAUUGGGAUAGGCUCGCGGCCUAUCAGCUAGUUGGUAAGGUAACGGCUUACCAAGGCGACGACGGGUAGCUGGUCUGAGAGGACGAUCAGCCACACUGGAACUGAGACACGGUCCAGACACCUACGGGUGGCAGCAGUCGAGAAUCAUUCACAAUGGGGGAAACCCUGAUGAUGCAACGCCGCGUGGAGGAUGAAGGCCCUAGGGUCGUAAACUCCUGUCAUCGGAGAGUAAGCCUUAUACGUUAAUAGCGUGUAAGGUUGAUAGUAUCCGAAGAGGAAGGGACGGCUAACUUCGUGCCAGCAGCCGCGGUAAUACGAAGGUCCCAAGCGUUGUUCGGAAUCACUGGGCGUAAAGAGUCUGUAGGCGGCAUGGAAAGUCAGAUGUGAAAUCCCGGGGCUCAACCCUGGAACUGCAUCCGAUACUCCCGUGCUAGAGUUAUGGAGGGGUAGCAGGAAUUAACGGUGUAGCAGUGAAAUGCGUGGAUAUCGUUAGGAAGACUUGUGGCGAAAGCGUGCUACUGGACAUAUACUGACGCUGAGAGACGAAGGCUAGGGGAGCGAAAGGGAUUAGAUACCCCUGUAGUCAAGGGC